CAGCAGGCAGGCAGGCGCAGGAAGAUGGUGUCACAGACGCAGGUCCUCACGUUCUUGUUGCUCUGGGUCACAGGUGCCUGCGGGGACAUCGUGAUGACCCAGUCUCCAGCCUCCUUGGCUGUGUCUCCAGGACACAGGGUCACCAUUAACUGCAGGGCCAGUCAGAGUGUAAGCAACGAAGUAGCCUGGUACCAGCAGAAGCCUGGGCAGGCCCCAAAACUGCUCAUCUACGAUGCAUCCACCCAGGCAUCUGGGGUCCCGAACCGGUUCAGCGGCAGUGGGUCUGGGACAGAUUUCACUUUCACCAUCAGCAGCGCCCAGGCUGAGGAUGUGGCAGCUUAUUACUGCCAGCAGGAUUACAGCUCUCCUCCCACAGUGCUUCAGCCUCGAACACAAACCCCAGGGCCGAGGGCCAGUGCAUCCCUGCCGGGCAGCUGCUUCCUCCCCCCACAGCUUUGAACACACA